ACAAUGGGCGCAAGCCUGAUCCAGCCAUGCCGCGUGAGUGAAGAAGGCCUUCGGGUUGUAAAGCUCUUUCGGACGGGAAGAAAUGGCGGGCUCUCACAUAGCCUGUCGAUGACGGUACCGUAAGAAGAAGCACCGGCUAACUACGUGCCAGCAGCCGCGCUAAUCCGUAGGGUGCGAGCGUUAAUCGGAAUUACUGGGCGUAAAGCGUACGCAGGCGUGUUUGUAAGACAGAUGUGAAAUCCCCGGGCUUAACCUGGGAACUGCGUUUGUGACUGUAAGGCUGGAGUACGGGGGAGGGGGGUGGAAUUCCACGUGUAGCAGUGAAAUGCGUAGAGAUGUGGAGGAACACCGAUGGCGAAGGCAGCCCCCUGGGCCUGUACUGACGCUCAUGCACGAAAGCGUGGGGAG
rnacentral:rRNA from 1 species